AAGGGAGACCUAAUUCGGGUAGAAGACGAAAAAAUAGUAGUCGAAACCAAGAAUCAAUCCCAAAAGGUCGGGACGAGGUAUGUGGCUUUCAAACUAGGUUCUGGGUUCACAAAAGACCUGAAUCAGGAACAAGGGCUAUUAGCUCAGGUGGUUAGAGCGCACCCCUGAUAAGGGUGAGGUCCCUGGUUCGAGUCCAGGAUGGCCCACCUGCACAGGUGGCAAAAACAAGAGAAACGAGGAAUCAGCACCUUAUCUUACUUACAUAGUAAGAGAGAAUGCUGGCUCUGAGUAAAGAGUCCAGAGGAACCUUGAAAACUGCAUAGAGCUAGGUGAAAAAGCCAAAAAAGAAGACCGCAA
rnacentral:tRNA from 1 species